CCUACGGGGGGCUGCAGUGAGGAAUAUUGGACAAUGGGGGAAACCCUGAUCCAGCCAUGCCGCGUGAGUGAAGAAGGCCUUCGGGUUGUAAAGCUCUUUUAGAUGUGACGAUAAUGACGGUAGCAUCAGAAAAAGCCCCGGCUAAACUCGUGCCAGCAGCCGCGGUAAUACGAGUGGGGCAAGCGUUGUUCGGAAUCACUGGGCGUAAAGGGUGCGCAGGCGGUCAUGCAAGUCAGAAGUGAAAUCCCUGGGCUUAACCCAGGAAUUGCUUUUGA
rnacentral:rRNA from 1 species